rnacentral:ribozyme from 1 species
GAAAUUGGUUGAAUAGUGUUUGGCAAUUUUUUGAUCUUUUCUCUUGCCUUCUUGAUCUUUUACAUCCUCAUUUUUAAAUAGACAGGAAGGGUAAAGCUGUUGUGUUUACGACUGAAAGAGUAAAAAGAUAAGGCAAAUGGA